rnacentral:rRNA from 1 species
UGCGUAGGGGGCAAGCGUUGUCCGGAUUUAUUGGGCGUAAAGAGCGUGUAGGCGGCUUUACAGGUCCGUUGUGAAAACUCGAGGCUCAACCUCGAGACGCCGGUGGAAACCGUAAGGCUAGAGUCCGGAAGAGGAGAGUGGAAUUCCUGGUGUAGCGGUGAAAUGCGCAGAUAUCAGGAAGAACACCCGUGGCGAAGGCGGCUCUCUGGGACGGUACUGACGCUGAGACGCGAAAGCGUGGGGAGCGAACAGG